rnacentral:rRNA from 1 species
UACGGAGGGUGCGAGCGUUAUUCGGAAUUACUGGGCGUAAAGGGUGCGCAGGCGGGUUUGCAAGACAGAUGUGAAAUCCCCGAGCUCAACCUGGGAACUGCAUUUGUGACUGCAAGGCUAGAGUACGGCAGAGGGGGAUGGAAUUUCGCGUGUAGCAGUGAAAUGCGUAGAUAUGCGGAAGAACACCAAUGGCGAAGGCAAUCCCCUGGGCCUGUACUGACGCUCAUGCACGAAAGCGUGGGGAGCAAACAGG